CCAGGAAAUCGAUAUGGCUUAUACCGCUCAUGCACGGGUUCCCCAAUGCGACCUAGGGGCAAGACGUUGGUUUAGGCAAGAAGAAGUCAUCCACAAACGGUAAAGUGUGAAGACGCGAUAUGUCCCUUCGGAAAAGUUCGUUAUGAAACGCUGAAACGGCCAUUUUGGCGGCGCAGAGCCGGAACAGAUGACACGCAUGCCUUAAAAGUAUUGUUUAUAUUGCUUUGCUGAGGAAUCCCUCCUAUUUUUGCGUGUACGCGCCUUCAGUCAUACAAGAUUAAUGUAUUGCUAUGGAUGUCAAUUAUGGUACAACACACGAGCCGUCCGUAUACGACCGUAUAUGUCACGACUCCAUUGCGCCUGAUGAAAACAAAUCAAUGUAUUGUUAAUCCAUUUCUAAAAAAAGUAAAUCUCUGGCUGCUUUUUCUUUUUACGGUAACAGGUUCUUAUCCUUCUGCACAAAGGUGAAACCUCACGGACGUUUUCCGAACAUACCCCUGAUUGCAUGUUUCUGGAGUGUCGUUUGAUUAAGUAUCCUUAGAGCACGCAUUCAUCAACUGUUUCCUGGUAAACCUCUUCCU
rnacentral:lncRNA from 1 species